rnacentral:rRNA from 1 species
UACGGAGGGUGCAAGCGUUGUCCGGAUUUAUUGGGUUUAAAGGGUACGUAGGCGGCCCGUUAAGUCAGUGGUGAAAGCCUCCAGCUCAACUGGAGAACUGCCAUUGAUACUGGCGGGCUUGAGUACAGACGAGGUUGGCGGAAUUGAUUGUGUAGCGGUGAAAUGCGCAGAUAUCGGGAGGAACACCAAUGGCGAAGGCAGCUCGCUGGGACGGUACUGACGCUGAGACGCGAAAAGCGUGGGGAGCAAACAGGG